rnacentral:rRNA from 1 species
GACGGAGGAUGCAAGUGUUAUCCGGAAUCACUGGGCGUAAAGCGUCUGUAGGUGGUUCGAAAAGUCCACUGUUAAAAAUUGAGGCUUAACUUCAAAGAUGCCGUGGAAACUUUCAAACUAGAGUAUGGUAGGGGUAGAGGGAAUUUCCGGUGGAGCGGUGAAAUGGCGUAGAGAUCGGAAAGAACACCAACGGCGAAAGCACUCUGACUGGGCCGACACUGACACUGAGAGACGAAAGCUAGGGGAGCGAAUGGG